rnacentral:rRNA from 1 species
UACGGGGGGUGCUAGCGUUGUUCGGAAUCACUGGGCGUAAAGGGUGCGUAGGCGGCGCGGUAAGUCGGGUGUGAAAUCUCGGAGCUUAACUCCGAAACUGCAUUCGAUACUGCCGUGCUUGAGGACUGGAGAGGAGACUGGAAUUUACGGUGUAGCGGUGAAAUGCGUAGAUAUCGUAAGGAAGACCAGUGGCGAAGGCGGGUCUCUGGACAGUUCCUGACGCUGAGGCACGAAGGCCAGGGGAGCAAACGGG